GAUUGCAUUCAUGAAACACGUGUUCCCCAGGUUCCGAAGGCCUGUGGCACACAAGGCAGUGGUGCUUCCAUUUACUUUUAGUAACUUGCUGUUCAGAGAUGAGUUUUCCAAUAGUUUUCUUUUCCUGUGUCUGUCUGAUGUAAAGGCUGAAUUUUCCAAGUUCUGUAGGUGCUCUCUGACCUUCUGCACCAGUCCCAGCUUGGUAUCAUUCACCACAAAGUCAUCACAGCGAUAACAGUAUGUACUGUAACUACUGCAAUCCAUACACACAGUAUGCUGAACUUUUUCUUGUUUCUCUGUUUUCUUGUGAUUGGUCAUAGGAAUCUGUGCAUCUUCAUAAUGCUUUUUAGCAUGGCCAUUCACAUAUCUUCCACAGUGGACACUCGAGCACGUCAGACAGACCCACGGGCUUUUGUUUGACCGGCACACGCUGCAGCACCAGGAGGAGGGCGAGCCCUGCGGGAACUUGGCCGAGUCGGGCGCGAUGCAGACGCUGGAGCCGAGGUGCGGGCACUCCAUGGCGGCGGGGCGCGGCGGGCGGCUCCUCGCGGCUCUACGACGGCGGCGGCGCCCCGCGCACAACAGCCAUCUUAGGGCCGGGCCCGCGAUCCGCGCGCCGAGCUUUGCGGGCAGCCGCUUCCCGUCCGCGCCCGCCGCUCCCUCGGACCGACCCGCCCCCCGCCGGGCUUUCCGAGCAGCCGCCCCUCGGCACGCUGCGCGGCGGUGACGCGCGGCACCUGGGGCCGGCCGGGCCGCUCCGCCCCGCGCCUCUAUUGCGUGUGGAGCACAGAUCCGCCACCGCAACGCCUCGGCAAGAAGGGAUCUUUUUAAUCCCUUAAUUUUUAAUCUACUUAAUUACCGCGACUCCUGCGAGGUGAUAUCGCACCUUUUCUCUUGCCCCAACCAACGUGAAAUACAUAGGAUCGGUCUCACAGUGACAACCCCGCCGCAGUAUGACUUCUGCUGCAUGCACUGAUUUAUCUUUCAGACCAGACAGAGGUGAAAAUGCACGAUCCGUGGCAGCAAAGCUAAUGGGCGCAGGGGACCGUGAGGAAAGAAGCCCCGAAACACGCCAGGAGCUCCACGGGCAACGCUCGGCUUUCUCUGAGACCCCCUCUUUUCGUUCUGGAAGGCUGCAAACUUCUCACAGCAAAAACAAACGUGGCUUUUGUUUAAGAGGUUUUGACUCUUCCCUUUACUGCAUGUCUGUACAGCUUGCGGUACCGUGCAGAAGGAAAAACGUCCUUCGUCCCCUGCUGUGGAAUUGUUAAGAUGUCCAUAACAGGAGCACAAAAGGACCCGCAGUUGCAGGAAGGUCAGUCCGGGCCGCACAACCGGCCCACAGCAGCGCUUCCUGCAGCGGCACACACCUGCGCUUUCACUUCCCUCCAUAGGAAGGUGUCGGCUCACCAACACAGCCCCUUCCUCUUGCACUCCUAGGAGCCACAACCACAGGGCUGUGACACUUUGCUCCUCUGCAUGCUAACAGCACUUUAUUCUUCCUUUAAUUUGCAGGCUGGCAGUGUGAUCUUGCCCAAAUAUUUGCCUGUUCCUUGAUUUUAAUUGCCACAUGUGUCCCAAACGUGGGGUAGCCCACAUUCAUCUCAUGCAGGGGGGAAACUGGAAUAGAAGCUCCAGGUAUUAUUUUCCUGUUCAGUUGGUUCGUUCAGUAAGAUCCACUGAGGAAAAAGAAAACACAUUUAAUUUGGAACUGGGGUCCCAUCUCUUUCUCCCAUCCUUCCUCAGCUCAGUCCAGUGUAGAUGAUAGCUGAGAUAACUCCUGCAGGCACGCUCGUGAUGGGUGCAAAUCAUUACAUAACAGGGACCUGUGGUGAGCGUGUUAAGUACGUUAGAAAUUUCCAUUUAAAAUAGUAUGCCAUCAGCUCUACUGCAAGAGAGACACUCAAUACAGUAUCCUUUUGUGGGAUAUCUGUAAUCAUCCAUCUGUGCUAUAGGCUCCAUCUAAGUUUAGAAUUUGGCCCUAAAUUGGUAUCCUGCAUACACACCUACAAUUUACUGUGGGUAGUUUUGCCUGGGGGGUUCUUUAGUACUGUAUUUAAGACCUUUGGUAUUAAAUGUUUGAAAAUAUUAACCCGUGUAUGUACUAUGAUGUGGACUAAAGGUGCAAUAGCAGAAGUUCACCUGUGGUCUUGGCUUCCUUCAGAAUCACUGGGUGGACAUCAUUCAGGGGACCAAGUGAAGCAGUUGAUGCCUUGAAUGACUUCCUUGUUUGCUGUAGGAGUUGGAGUGAGUGGAUGGCAUGGAGAAGGAAGAACACUGGAGGAGUGGAAUGAAUGCUAAACUGAGGAACUAGAAUCUCUCUUUACCAGGCAGGGAAAGGUAUUUAAACCAACAUUUUAAGCGGAUGUGUCUGCUUAAGUUAAAAACCUAGCCUCCUUCCUGACUGCAGCUAAGGAAAAGAGGCCAGCUCUGUCCAGGGCACACAUUUUGGAGUCCUCCUGUCUCUCCCAGCUAAAAUUUCUGAAUUAAAUACAGAUAGAAAUAAUAUCCUCUCCCACAGCAUGCUUCUUCUUUUCUAAGUGGUGAACUCAGCACAUGCACCAAGCACUCCAAAUUUAAAAGGUUCUGAGCACACAAAGCAAUGAACACUCUGAGAACACCAAGUGCCUAUCCAGACCUAGCAAAGGCAUGCGAGAGUGUGCUUCCACCUCUGUGUAUCGCAUCCAAAGAGCAGGCAGUUCCCUGUGCUCCCAGAGGUGUGCAGGUGCAACAUUCGGGUACAAUGGUGAUAACAAUGUGGACAGUACAGAAACCUGCAGGGAAAUGAAUUAUUUACUCUGUGGACGCAACUCCGAGGCAGACAGCUGGCCUGAAAAAAUCAAUAGAAACCAUCAGGAUGUGGCUAAGUAAUAACACCGGGUCUCAGCUUAAUAAAACCCUUAGUAGAGGCUGG
rnacentral:lncRNA from 1 species